rnacentral:misc_RNA from 1 species
CAUCCUUUCCAGAUUAAAAAAGAGCUUCAUGUUUUCUUGGCAAAUUUCAAGAAAAAAAUCCCUGAUUUCCAUGUUACUGGAUCUUACACUUCUUUGUCCUUCAAAGUUUUCAAAGGCCACCGGCUUCUUGCAGAGGUAAAGCAUAACUUCACAUUGGAAAGCUUCUGCAAGGGAAAGGAAAAAUACAGAGUUAAAGUAUAUCCAGAGGUGGAUUUUGCAUUUAUUGUGGCAUUGUUAGUAAUUCUUGAUGAGAAUGACACCCCUUAAUUGUCUCUUCAUCAAAGGG